AGAGUUUGAUCCUGGCUCAGAUUGAACGCUGGCGGCAGGCCUAACACAUGCAAGUCGAGCGAGAAAGCACUUCGGUGUGAGUACAGCGGCGGACGGGUGAGUAACGCGUAGGAAUCUACCUGGUAGUGGGGGACAACUUGUGGAAACGCAAGCUAAUACCGCAUACGCCCUAUGGGGGAAAGCGGGGGAUCUUCGGACCUCGCGCUAUUGGAUGAGCCUGCGUAAGAUUAGCUAGUUGGUGGGGUAAAAGCUCACCAAGGCGACGAUCUUUAGCUGGUCUGAGAGGAUGAUCAGCCACACUGGAACUGAGACACGGUCCAGACUCCUACGGGAGGCAGCAGUGGGGAAUAUUGCGCAAUGGGCGAAAGCCUGACGCAGCCAUGCCGCGUGUGUGAAGAAGGCCUUAGGGUUGUAAAGCACUUUCAAUUGGGAAGAAAGGUUGUACGUUAAUAGCGUGCAGCUGUGACAUUACCUUUAGAAGAAGCACCGGCUAACUCCGUGCCAGCAGCCGCGGUAAU
rnacentral:rRNA from 1 species